AUAGUGUUAUAGUUAAAGGGAGAUAAGAAACGCAAUUAUUGACACUUUUAUAUAAACAUCUAUCAUGUUUAUUGAGAAAUUAACUAAACAUAGAAAAUACUGAAAUUCCCCAUUUUUUAUUAAUCUAAAACAAAAGAUACAAAGUGUAUAUAUAGAAGUAUAUAAUGUGCAAGUUAAUUGCUGACAAAACUAACAACCAACAAGUAAGGCUGGUAACUAACGAAACAGAUUAACUAAAUACAAGAUGAAUGAAAAUUCAAUAUCACUAAUAGCCCUCCAUGCUGGAUAAUGUAAGUUUAACAUUCCCAGCAUGGAAAAUAUAGCUAAAAUAAUAGCAGGCUCCAAUGGUUUAAUAAAUAGAUCGGCUAAUUGAUUAGAAGAGGUAAUUGGAAGAAGAUGAAAAUACUUAGAUGUUUUGUGCACUCAUGAAAGUUCAAAUUCAUUGCGAUGUGGAGAGUAGAGUUGUUGUCCCAGUACAACAAAGUAUGUGAGCCAAACCCCGCUGUUUCAGAAGAUGAACAUGAAAUAAUGGUUAGGUUCUUCAAACACCACAAAAUCUGGAUGAAAAUGGAUUCGACUUGGGAGAGAAAAGUUUUUAACAAAAAAUAUGAUCUUUGAAAAACACUAAAGUGAAGUUUAAAUAAGCACAUAAAAGAAAGAAAUCAAAACUUAGUUUUUAACGAAAGAUAGACAAAGAACAAUUUUUCAAAAGAACACGAGCAAUAAAAUCAAAGACAAGAUAACACAAAACAAGACAUAAGAUACGUAACGUGGAUAAGAAGUGGAUAAGAAGAGAGUACAUAAACACAAGAUGACAAGAAAAGUCAUAAAAGAAAACACAAACACACAAAAUGAUGUAAAACUAUUUUCUAGACACACAAGGACAAUGAAUAAGAUAAACAAGCAAAAACAUA
rnacentral:lncRNA from 1 species